AACUACCAUAACUUCCUCAUCCGGGCUCCGAUCGCCGCGCCGUUUGCGGCCACGCGUCGGGCUCGUCGAGCUCUUCGAUUAUAUCCAAACAAAACAGGGUUCACUAGACUUGAUUUCUUGUGGGUAUUGCCCAAGGAUCAGUGGGUAAAGGUAGUGUGUAUGUGAAUGUUGAUGCUUGUUGGAGGCUUGUUGGUGAUCAAGCUUGGUUUGGGGCUGUUUGAUUGAGUUUGGAGGGGCUGUAAUUUUGAGUUGUGAGGCUGCCUUGGGUGAACUAAGUGAUCGGCCAAGAUGCAGGUCGAGAGGCUCCUCGCUAGGCGUCUGGAUUCUGGAAAGCGAAGUAGUUCUUGGGUGUAUUUUGGGUUCUAUUUGUAUAUAUGUAUAUAUAUGUGUAGCUUACUCUCCAAGUAACUUAUGUAUGCUGCUCCUCUUAGAG